UGGAUUCUGCUUCAGGCUUCAGACCGAAGUGGAAGUAAGAUUAGUUUCAAUCAUCACCUGGAACAACAGCUGUAGUUUCAGAAAUGACUGUGUUAUGCACAACCUAAUUGAAAGCUGCAUUUCAGCCUUUGUUCCUUUCCUACAGAGUGAUAAUGAGGUGGUGUUAAUUCCCAAGCUUCUGCCUGAACCAACCCUCAAGGCUCAUCAGAAUGAACAAUCCCUGCUUGAAAAUGCUUUACCUUCUCUUGCAACUAUAAACACUCCUGUGUUCGUACACAAGAAGACAGAGAAAGAAAGAGCAGAAUGAUAUGGGGUUUGCUGAGAUGGUGAAGCGUUGCACAGGCGCUUGCAUUACCCCAUAACAUCUCUACAACAGCAGCUCUCAAAGGGGACAAAAUACCCCACUUCGUGACCCACGUUGACAUCCAUCUCAUCAGCUGCACGCAGGGCCAGCUGCACUGCCAGCUGUCCGUGUGUCUGGGAGCACACAGCUGCACCGUGCCUGCAGCCAGCAGCCAGGCAGUGCUCAGCACACCACUGCGGGACCUGUGGUGGGCAAGGACAGUGCUUAACACCUCUAGUAGGGACUGAGAUGCAGAAUGGAGAAGCAUGGGAGAACAGAGCCCACCUGAGCAUCAGAUUUUUCUUGUUUUGUUGUUUUGGGAUCCAGUGCUGCUAAGGUGUUCUUCUACGACAGCAGCAUAGAGAACCAACAAAGCAGGAGAAAAUAUCUUUGUUCAGCAGCCGGAAUAUCUCAAUCCAAGUGAGUUGAGUUAUGUGCUGCUCCCAGAACAGGCUGUUGUUGGCACUCAGUGUGGCUGGCAGUGAGGGCUGACUGACUGCCCGCUGUGGGGGACAAAGCCAACUGCAAGCUGGAGGAGCAGCCCUGGAAGGUGGAGGAGCAGGUGAGCGAUCUGUGCUGCACAGUGUGCCUCAGGUGAGCCAUCCGUGGGGAACUGCUGAUGGAUCAACGUCCCCGUGAAGGUGACAGGAGUCUACAUUUCGUGCUCAGUGACACCAAGUUAUGUUCACGUUCAGUUGGGGGUGGAGCUUCUCUUCCCACUGUGACCUUUGUGGGUCCUUGGGCACUUGAUGAUUUUCUGUUACAUCCUUCUCUGUUUAAUUGCGUGAAAUCCUUGUGAGCUUGCUAUCGUUGAGAUCUCUGCCUCUCUCAGAUGUGGUUGAAAUCAGUCAACAGCGCAUAAAUGUUCUGAGGGAACUAACAGAGGGCAUCCCUACAUGUUGCUUCUUCUCAUAACCCAGCUUAAAUGACAUCAGUUGAAGAGGCGAAUUGCUAUUAUCCUGCAUUUUUUUGCUGCUCAUUUUUCAUAUGCAGUAGCAGUAUGUUCUCUUUAAUUUCUUCAGCUACGGUAUAGGUCUGUUGUCUUCAAAACAUGAGAGGGCAAUGAUAUUUUUUUGCUCACUGGGGUUGGAGCUGGGUGAUCAGUGAAGUCACUUGCAUCCUAUGCCAUUCUUUGCUAUGAGUCUAUGAUUGAACAAAUUUAAAUUUCUGAUUGUACCUCAACCUUUGUUUUGUUUUUACUUUUUCAUACCUGUAACGGAAAGGAAAGACAGGUUACCAACUCAAGAAGAAUUUUUGCUCUUUGGAACCCAGAUGCAACAAAACUGAUGUUUUUCUCAUGGUUAUGAAGGUUUUAGUAGAACAAGUUGUUAACUGAUUUAAACGAUUCGUCUGCACUGAAAUGGGCUGUGGACAAGCUUUAUCCUGAUCUGCAGCCAGGUACAAUGGAGCAUUUUGAGCCUCUUCGUGUAGCACCAGCCCAGCAGCUCUCUGCAGCCAGCAUCCCUGGCAUUUGAGGAGACCAAGAACACAGCCAAGGGCUGGGCUGGGAGCGUGAUUGAGCAUUGCCUCUGUGAAUUCAGGCAUCCAAGCAGCAGCUCUUUGCUGCUCAGUAUGCCUCGUUGCUGAGACUCAGCCAUUUUAAUCCAGAGCAAGUAUCUGAGCUUGUGUUUCUAGUCCUUAAGCGUGACCUCAGGAUGUCUACCUGCUCUGUCUUGCUCUCCAUUGCCCCUCUGUUCUGAACCUUCUCAUUGAACAUCUCCUGUAGGUCCACUUCACAUGUCCUCAGGGACACUGUGUGUGCUCCUGGCUUUGGCUUUGCUGUUGGGUGAGGUCUCUUCUUCCUCACAGAGUGUGGCACUGUUUUCUGAGAGGGAUUCCUGUUUGUCUCUUCAGAUUGCUGCCAUUCCAUCUUUAUUGGCACAGGGAAUGAUGAGAUCACUGUCCCUGGAAAUGUUCCAGUACAGCAGAGACGUGGCACUGAGGGUCGUGAGCAGUGGCUAUGGUGUGGUGGGGCUAUGGUUGGGCUUAGGGAUCACUGAAAGCUUUUCCAACCUUUGUAAUUCUGUGAUUCCAGCAGGCCCUUUGGGAUUUGCCAGAUGUACUACUUAACAUAAUACAGUGAGAUUUAGUUAAUUAUAAUAAAUAACAGGAACGCCCACUGCGGAUGAGUGCUUGUAGUAAAUGGGAGGAGAAGCUGCUGUGAAAGAUAUCAGUGAGAACUUUGCUAUUGGUUCAAAUUAUACGCUGUGUUCAGUGCUUGUGAUGAUGUGUUGUAGCAAAGCAGUAAAUGCCAUGUUACACAUUCUCUAUCCUUAAUAACGCCUUGCUAAUGUAGGGACUCUUCAGAGCUUUCCCAUUAUAUCUUUGAGAGGAGGAGGAUUUUCUGUGCGUAAAUUAUAUAAAUUAGUAGUAUCAGUGGUAAUAGAAUGCUCUUUCUUUCUUCCAUUUUUCUUCCCUGGUUUUGGCAGCAAGAGUUUACAACAGUAAUGGAAAUUUAAGGAGGUGACUUCUUUCCCCAAAAUGUCAUUUAAAUACGGGGCUUCAGAUUAAAUUUUAGAUGAUAUUAAAUCCCCAUUUCAGAGCUUUUCCAUGAUAAAAUGGGACAGGACAGGGUGGGUGUCCUUGUAUACAACACAUGUGGAACCUGUAUGCACAAACCCUCUGGAUUUGAUUGCAGGGGGAGCAGUGCCAAGCACUCAUCCUGGAAUCGAGGACAUCACCAUGAUUUAUGGAGUCUUAUUACUAAAAACGACACUUUAAUAGUCUCUGCAGGGAUAUUUUUUUGGUUGCUUUUUAUACUCAUAUGAAUAUGAAAGUUUGGUGCCUGGCCAACAGACAGCAAGCAAAUGUGGAAAAAGAUCCCUCUCACUGGAAGAGUGUGUUAGCAUUUCUGUUGGCCUACUGGCAGCAAUGCUUAACCUUGCUUACGCUGUAAUGUAUUACUGUUUAUUGAGUACACUGUAAAACUAAAAUAGAGCAUUUCCCUCCUAUCCAAUAGUUCUGAGUCACUCUUUUAUUGUGUUUUAAUUUCCACUUACGAUUUUGUUGGCUGGUGAAAUAUUAUUUGUUUUGUGUUUUUUGCUCCUGAAACGUUGACAGAUUGGUUCAGAACAAAGUGUUUCAAGUCAGCAACCGAAAAGCCAACCUUUAACUCACUGGUUGCCCAGUUUUGAAUGAGAACAUUAUGUUUUCUGAGCUGAAACUUUGCCAUUUACGUGCACAAGCGGUAUACUUGCUUGAAUCCGAGUCUUCCUUUGCACAUUUAUUAGGGUAAAACUAG